AAGGAUCAUUAAAGAAAUUUAAUAAUUUUGAUAUUGGAUUUUUUUGUUUUGGCAAGAGCGUGAGAGCUUUUACUGGGCAAGAAGACAAGAGAUGGAGAGUCCAGCCGGGCCUGCGCUUAAGUGCGCGGUCUUGCUAGGCUUGCAAAUUUCUUUCUUGCUAUUCCAAACAGUGAGACUUCUCUGUUUUUGUUAUAGGACAAUUAAAACCGUUUCAAUACAACACACUGUGGAGUUUUUAUACUUUUGCAACUUUUUCUUUGGGUUUCGAGCAAUCGAGCCCAGAGGUAACAAACACAAACAAUUUUAUUUAUUCAUUAAAUUUUUGUCAAAAACAAGAAUUUUCGUAACUGGAAAUUUUAAAAAUAAUUAAAAACUUUCAACAACGGAUCUCUUGGUUCUCGCAUCGAUGAAGAACGCAGCGAAAUGCGAUACGUAAUGUGAAUUGCAGAAUUCCGUGAAUCAUCGAAUCUUUGAACGCACAUUGCGCCCCUUGGUAUUCCAGGGGGCAUGCCUGUUUGAGCGUCAUUUCCUUCUCAAACAUUCUGUUUGGUAGUGAGUGAUACUCUCUGGAGUUAACUUGAAAUUGCUGGCCUUUUCAUUGGAUGUUUUUUUUCCAAAGAGAGGUUUCUCUGCGUGCUUGAGGUAUAAUGCAAGUACGGUCGUUUUAGGUUUUACCAACUGCGGCUAAUCUUUUUUGUACUGAGCGUAUUGAAACGUUAUCGAUAAGAAGAGAGCGUCUAGGCGAACAAUGUUCUUAAAGUUUGACCUCAAAUCAGGUAGGAGUACCCGCUGAACUUAAGCAUAUCAAUAAGCGGAGGAAAAGAAACCAACCGGGAUUGCCUUAGUAACGGCGAGUGAAGCGGCAAAAGCUCAAAUUUGAAAUCUGGUACCUUUGGUGCCCGAGUUGUAAUUUGGAGAGGGCAACUUUGGGACCGUUCCUUGUCUAUGUUCCUUGGAACAGGACGUCAUAGAGGGUGAGAAUCCCGUGUGGCGAGGAGUGCGGUUCUAUGUAAAGUGCCUUCGAAGAGUCGAGUUGUUUGGGAAUGCAGCUCUAAGUGGGUGGUAAAUUCCAUCUAAAGCUAAAUAUUGGCGAGAGACCGAUAGCGAACAAGUACAGUGAUGGAAAGAUGAAAAGAACUUUGAAAAGAGAGUGAAAAAGUACGUGAAAUUGUUGAAAGGGAAGGGCAUUUGAUCAGACAUGGUGUUUUGCGCCCUCUGCUCCUUGUGGGUGGGGGAAUCUCGCAGUUCACUGGGCCAGCAUCAGUUUUGGUGGCAGGAUAAAUCCGUAGGAAUGUAACUUGCUUCGGGAAGUAUUAUAGCCUAUGGGAAUACUGCCAACUGGGACUGAGGACUGCGACGUAAGUCAAGGAUGCUGGCAUAAUGGUUAUAUGCCGCC
rnacentral:sRNA from 1 species